rnacentral:tRNA from 1 species
UGUCCCGUGGUGUAAUGGUAGCACAACAGAUUUUGGUUCUGUUUGCCCAGGUUCGAGUCCUGGCGGGACAA